GAGCAACCUGCCUUUCAGAGGGGGAUAACAUUUGGAAACAGAUGCUAAUACCGCAUAAGAUUACAGUACCGCAUGAUACAGUGAUCAAAGGAGCAAUCCGCUGAAAGAUGGGCUCGCGUCCGAUUAGAUAGUUGGUGAGGUAACGGCUCACCAAGUCGACGAUCGGUAGCCGGACUGAGAGGUUGAACGGCCACAUUGGGACUGAGACACGGCCCAGACUCCUACGGGAGGCAGCAGUGGGGAAUAUUGCACAAUGGGCGAAAGCCUGAUGCAGCAACGCCGCGUGAGGGAAGACGGUUUUCGGAUUGUAAACCUCUGUUUUCGGUGACGAACAAAUGACGGUAACCGAGUAGGAAGCCACGGCUAACUACGUGCCAGCAGCCGCGGUAAUACGUAGGUGGCAAGCGUUAUCCGGAAUUACUGGGUGUAAAGGGAGCGCAGGCGGGAUAGCAAGUCAGCUGUGAAAACUAUGGGCUCAACCCAUAAACUGCAGUUGAAACUGUUAUUCUUGAGUGGAGUAGAGGCAAGCGGAAUUCCGAGUGUAGCGGUGAAAUGCGUAGAUAUUCGGAGGAACACCAGUGGCGAAGGCGGCUUGCUGGGCUCUAACUG
rnacentral:rRNA from 1 species